rnacentral:rRNA from 1 species
GAUCAUGGCUCAGAACGAACGCUGGCGGCAUGCCUAACACAUGCAAGUCGAACGAGACCUUCGGGGUCUAGUGGCGCACGGGUGCGUAACGCGUGGGAACCUGCCUUUAGGUUCGGAAUAACUCAGAGAAAUUUGAGCUAAUACCGGAUAAUGUCUUCGGACCAAAGAUUUAUCGCCUUUAGAUGGGCCCGCGUAAGAUUAGCUAGUUGGUGGGGUAAAGGCCUACCAAGGCGACGAUCUUUAGCUGGUCUGAGAGGAUGAUCAGCCACACUGGGACUGAGACACGGCCCAGACUCCUACGGGAGGCAGCAGUGGGGAAUAUUGGACAAUGGGCGAAAGCCUGAUCCAGCAAUGCCGCGUGAGUGAUGAAGGCCUUAGGGUUGUAAAGCUCUUUUACCCGAGAUGAUAAUGACAGUAUCGGGAGAAUAAGCUCCGGCUAACUCCGUG